rnacentral:rRNA from 1 species
UGAAGUUGACGGGGCCGCACAAGCGUGGAGCAUGUGGAUUAAUUCGAUGCAACGCGAAAAACCUUACCUGGCCUUGACAUGUAACGAACUUUCCAGAGAUGGAUUGGUGCUCGAAAGAGAACGUUAACACAGGUGCUGCAUGGCUGUCGUCAGCUCGUGUCGUGAGAUGUUGGGUUAAGUCCCGCAACGAGCGCAACCCUUGCCAUUAAUUGCCAUCAUUUAGUUGGGCACUUUAAUGGGACUGCCGGUGACAAACCGGAGGAAGGUGGGGAUGACGUCAAGUCCUCAUGGCCCUUAUGGCCAGGGCUUCACACGUAAUACAAUGGUCGGUACAGAGGGUUGCCAACCCGCGAGGGGGAGCCAAUCCCAGAAAGCCGAUCGUAGUCCGGAUUGUAGUCUGCAACUCGACUACAUGAAGUCGGAAUCGCUAGUAAUCGCGGAUCAGCAUGUCGCGGUGAAUACGUUCCCGGGCCUU